GACGUAGGAGGCGAGCGUUGUCCGGAUUCAUUGGGCGUAAAGAGCUCGUAGGCGGCUUGGCAAGUCGGAUGUGAAAACUCCAGGCUCAACCUGGAGCCGCCAUUCGAUACUGCUAUGGCUAGAGUCCGGUAGGGGAGUGUGGAAUUCCCGGUGUAAGCGGUGAAAUGCGCAGAUAUCGGGAGGAACACCGAUGGCGAAGGCCAGCACUCUGGGCCGGCACUGAC
rnacentral:rRNA from 1 species